rnacentral:tRNA from 1 species
GACCGGCUGGGCGAGGCCGCGUCGGCCCGGUACCGGCGGGCCCGGAUCGGCCUGGUGUUCCAGUUCUUCAACCUGCUCG